rnacentral:lncRNA from 1 species
AUGAACCACACUGCCCAAACCUUCUUCAUUCCUGCCAACAGUGGCUGCCCUCCCCCGCCCCCCAACCCCAGCUAUGAGAUGCUCAAGGAGGAGCAUGAGGUGGCUGUGCUGGGGGCGCCCCACAACCCUGCUCCCUCAAUGUCCACCAUGAUCCAUAUCUGCAGCGAGACCUCCUGUGUCUGACUAUGUUGUCUGGUCCCUGUCCAACAUCCUCUUCAUGAACCCCCACUGCCUGGGAUUCAUAGCAUUCACCUACUCCCUGAAGUCUAGGGACAGGAAGAUGGUUGGAGACCUGACUGGGGCCCAGGCCUAUGCCUCCACUGCCAAGUACCUGAACAUCUGAGCCCUGAUUGUGUGCAUCAUCAUGACCAUUCUGCUCACCAUCAUCAUCCUAGUGUUGAUCUUCCCAGUCUGUCGAUAG